CAGGCUUAACACAUGCAAGUCGAGGGGCAGCAUGGUCUUAGCUUGCUAAGGCCGAUGGCGACCGGCGCACGGGUGAGUAACACGUAUCCAACCUGCCGUCUACUCUUGGACAGCCUUCUGAAAGGAAGAUUAAUACAAGAUGGCAUCAUGAGUCCGCAUGUUCACAUGAUUAAAGGUAUUCCGGUAGACGAUGGGGAUGCGUUCCAUUAGAUAGUAGGCGGGGUAACGGCCCACCUAGUCUUCGAUGGAUAGGGGUUCUGAGAGGAAGGUCCCCCACAUUGGAACUGAGACACGGUCCAAACUCCUACGGGAGGCAGCAGUGAGGAAUAUUGGUCAAUGGGCGAGAGCCUGAACCAGCCAAGUAGCGUGAAGGAUGACUGCCCUAUGGGUUGUAAACUUCUUUUAUAAAGGAAUAAAGUCGGGUAUGGAUACCCGUUUGCAUGUACUUUAUGAAUAAGGAUCGGCUAACUCCGUGCCAGCAGCCGCGGUAAUACGGAGGAUCCGAGCGUUAUCCGGAUUUAUUGGGUUUAAAGGGAGCGUAGAUGGAUGUUUAAGUCAGUUGUGAAAGUUUGCGGCUCAACCGUAAAAUUGCAGUUGAUACUGGAUAUCUUGAGUGCAGUUGAGGCAGGCGGAAUUCGUGGUGUAGCGGUGAAAUGCUUAGAUAUCACGAAGAACUCCGAUUGCGAAGGCAGCCUGCUAAGCUGCAACUGACAUUGAGGCUCGAAAGUGUGGGUAUCAAACAGGAUUAGAUACCCUGGUAGUCCACACGGUAAACGAUGAAUACUCGCUGUUUGCGAUAUACGGCAAGCGGCCAAGCGAAAGCGUUAAGUAUUCCACCUGGGGAGUACGCCGGCAACGGUGAAACUCAAAGGAAUUGACGGGGGCCCGCACAAGCGGAGGAACAUGUGGUUUAAUUCGAUGAUACGCGAGGAACCUUACCCGGGCUUAAAUUGCAGAUGAAUUACGGUGAAAGCCGUAAGCCGCAAGGCAUCUGUGAAGGUGCUGCAUGGUUGUCGUCAGCUCGUGCCGUGAGGUGUCGGCUUAAGUGCCAUAACGAGCGCAACCCUUGUUGUCAGUUACUAACAGGUUCCGCUGAGGACUCUGACAAGACUGCCAUCGUAAGAUGUGAGGAAGGUGGGGAUGACGUCAAAUCAGCACGGCCCUUACGUCCGGGGCUACACACGUGUUACAAUGGGGGGUACAGAGGGCCGCUACCACGCGAGUGGAUGCCAAUCCCAAAAACCUCUCUCAGUUCGGACUGGAGUCUGCAACCCGACUCCACGAAGCUGGAUUCGCUAGUAAUCGCGCAUCAGCCACGGCGCGGUGAAUACGUUCCCGGGCCUUGUACACACCGCCCGUCAAGCCAUGGGAGCCGGGGGUACCUGAAGUGCGUAACCGCGAGGAGCGCCCUAGGGUAAAACUGGUGACUGGGGCUAAGUCAUAACAAGG
rnacentral:rRNA from 1 species